UUAUAAUUUACCUAAAAUUUAUUAGUCCCGCAAAUUUAUUUUUUAGAAAAAAUGAAAUAAUUUGUAUUUAAAUUUGAAAAAUAAUUUCUAUUGAAAAUUAUCUAAAUUGCAUUGCCUAUUAUACAAUUAUUAUUAUAUAUUUAGAAAAAUAAUUUGUCUUUUCAAACGAAGUGAACUUCCUAAUUUUUGUUAGUUAUUUAAGUUAUUGAUAACUUCAAAUGAACUCUCCUAGUCCAGAAGUAGAUGUUUUCAUAAGUAAUUACACUAUAGUUGAUCCAGAUGUAUAUCAUCUUUGGGUAAAUGGUUAUUCUGCUACCGAAUCUGUUACAAUCCUCAAACAGUAUGGAAUUUUGGAAGAAAUGGGAACAACUCUUGACUUAGUUGCAUCAGAUAUAUUGGACCAUUAUAGAACUUAUAGUCUUUUAGAAAAAUUAAUUCAUUAUCCUACCAAAUUAGACCAACAAUUGGCUUUUCAGAUAGAACCUCAAACAAAAAAUUUAUUAAUUGAAAAAUAUUAUGAAAUUGAUGACAUAGUUGUCAGAGAAUUUCUGGGUAAAAAACUUUCAUCAAAACACCGUAAAGAUCUGGAUGAAGUUAGUGAGAAAACUAGUAUUGCUAUCAAAUCUUGCAGGCGUCAAUUUGAUAAUGUCAAAAGAGUAUUUAAGUAUGUUGAAGAAUUACAAGGAUCUGUAAUUCAAAAUAUUUCUAGUACAUUUUUAUUGUCAGAAGAUUUAGCCAAAAAGUAUGGUGUAAUAGUUUUUAUUGCAUGUAUGCGUUUUGAAACUUCCAAGAGAAAACUACAAAAUUUAAGUUUCCAAGAUUUUUAUGAACCUACUUUGUGUAUUAUUAAUAAGUGGACAUAUCCAAAAAAUAGUCCAGAGUUUGGAGACAUGGAUUUGGAUCGAGAAUUUCUUCUUGAUUUACGAGAAGUCAGAAUAUUAUUAGACAAAGAAAAAGAUCAUAAGCAUGUUGUUUGUCAAAAACUGAAGCAAGAAUUUCUUGAAAAAACUUAUAGCAGUAUGGAAACUAAUUUCAGAAUGUUGAGUAGAGCAAUUAUUGGAAUAGCAUAUAAUCUACAUCAUAAUAGAGAUAUGCGAAGUUUAUUUCUUGAUAUCAUGGAAAGGAUAGUUGAUCCUUGGAAAGUACUUAAUUGGAAUAAAACAGAAAUUAUGGCAUUUUUAAAAGUAUUUUUUCUAAGUGCUUUUGAAUUGGAUAUUUUUCAGGAAUCAGAAGUGAAAAAAGCUUGGGAGCGUUAUAUGGAAGUUAUAACAAUAAGCAUAAAACAAUUGUAUUAGAAAGAUUUAUUUGCUACUUACUUUUUAUUCUAGUCAAACAAGUUUUUAUGUACACAAAAUAUAUUCUUAACAAAAUAACUAAAUAAUACUAGUAAUAUUAGCGAUAUGUAUCAACUACAUAACGCUAUCUUAGCAGAAACGACAUACAUCUACAAUUUUUUGAUUUUUAUACUGUGGAAUCCAAGUAAUCAGAAUAUUCCUUUUAAAUUCAUUAUUUGAGUAUGUUGCUUUUAUUGCAACAAUAUGUUAAUUUUUUCUAUAAUCUGUAUUAGUUAAAGAAUAAAAAUAUGCUAAAAUCAGAAUCAAAAUUUGUGUUGAUUUGCAUAAUUAAUUAAU